AAUAAGAACUUAUUAAAAACUUAAGAUAAUUAAAAUUAUUGUGAAUUGGAAUAGACUUCUAAUUAUACAGAGAUUUAUUUUACUUCACAUAGGCAUUGAUAUAAGUUUGGCAAUAGUAUUAAAAGUUGAGCUUAUUGUUCAAUGGUACAUUCAUGUAGAUACUAAAAUUAUAUCUUUCCAAUCAAUUUGACAUCAUCUUUAAAGAUUGUUGAUUAUGUAUCCUAAACAACUACAACCUUUUGUCAUUCUUGAUUAUUUUAGGUAAUUUUUUUGUAAUGCCAUGCUUAUUAGUGAUGAAGAUUUGAGAAGAUUAAGAAAGGUAGACUUAUUGAUUGCUAGAUGGUCUUGUCAAGGUCAUUCCUACAUUAAAGCAAGUCAAGAGCUAAAUGAUCUUUAAUUUAAUUCAUUUACAAAUUUGAUUUAAUUUACAUAAUAGUGGUUUAUGCAUUAAACCACACCACUUGGAUAUAUUUUUGAAAAUAUAUCACUAUUAGGUGAUAUUCAAACACAAAUGUUAGAGUCUUA
rnacentral:lncRNA from 1 species